rnacentral:rRNA from 1 species
GCAUUGAACUCUGAUCCUACUUGUGUAGAUCUCGGUGGACGCCGUAACAUUAAAACACUAAUUCGACUGGAGCCAUCCUUGAAAUACCACCCUGGUAUGGUUGGGGUUCUAACCUAGGUCCGUUAUCCGGAUUGGGGACAAUGCAUGGUGGGUAGUUUGACUGGGGCGGUCUCCUCCCAAAGAGUAACGGAGGAGCGCAAAGGUACCCUCAGCACGGUCGGACAUCGUGCAAUGAGCGCAAAGGUAAAAGGGUGCUUGACUGCGAGACUGACACGUCGAGCAGGUAGGAAACUAGGUCUUAGUGAUCCGGUGGUUCUGAGUGGAAGGACCAUCGCUCAACGGAUAAAAGGUACGCCGGGGAUAACAGGCUGAUACCGCCCAAGAGUUCACAUCGACGGCGGUGUUUGGCACCUCGAUGUCGGCUCAUCACAUCCUGGGGCUGAAGCAGGUCCCAAGGGUAUGGCUGUUCGCCAUUUAAAGUGGUACGCGAGCUGGGUUUAGAACGUCGUGAGACAGUUCGGUCCCUAUCUACCGUGGGCGUUGGAGACUUGAGGGAAGCUGUUCUUAGUACGAGAGGACCGGAAUGGACACACCUCUGGUGUUUCGGUUGUGACGCCAGUCGCAUUGCCGAGUAGCUAUGUGUGGAAAGGAUAACCGCUGAAAGCAUCUAAGCGGGAAGCCCCUCCCAAGAUUAGGUCUCCCUGAUAGUUUAACUAUCCUAAAGAUCCCUUGAAGACUACGAGGUUGAUAGGCAGGGUGUGGAAGCACAGUGAUGUGUGAAGCUAACCUGUACUAAUUGAUCGUGAGACUUGACCAUAUAACACCCAAAUUAUUUGA